GGUUCGGGAUAGCCGAUAGAUAGCUGAUUGCAUCAAGGACUUCAGUUAGCCUUGCAUUGUCAAAAUUAUAGGUUCACAGACUCGCAUCUUAUUGGAUAGUUGGGGGCCCACGUGUCAUUGUAAAAGUAAUUUUAUACUUUAGUUAUCUGAUUUAAAAUAUGUAUGAACAUAUUUAGCUUUUACACCAUGUUUUUGACGAGUUU
rnacentral:lncRNA from 1 species